rnacentral:rRNA from 1 species
GGCGAACGGGUGAGGAACACGUGAGGAAUCUGCCUUUCACUUCGGGAUAACUCCGGGAAACCGGGGCUAAUACCGGAUAUUUUCAACUGGCGGCAUCGCCGGUUGAAGAAAGUUUUUCGGUGAAAGAUGACCUCGCGGCCUAUCAGCUUGUUGGUGAGGUAAUGGCUCACCAAGGCAACGACGGGUAGCCGGCCUGAGAGGGCGACCGGCCACACUGGGACUGAGACACGGCCCAGACUCCUACGGGAGGCAGCAGUGGGGAAUAUUGGGCAAUGGAGGAAACUCUGACCCAGCGACGCCGCGUGAGGGAUGAAGGCCUUCGGGUUGUAAACCUCUUUCAGCAGGGAAUAAGCGAAAGUGAAGGUACCUGCAGAAGAAGCACCGGCUAACUAUGUGCCAGCAGCCGCGGUAAUACAUAGGGUGCAAGCGUUGUCCGGAAUUAUUGGGCGUAAAGAGCUCGUAGGUGGUCGAUCACGUCGGAUGUGAAAUUCUGAGGCUUAACCUCGGACCUGCAUUCGAUACGGGUUGACUAGAGUGUGGUAGGGGAGACUGGAAUUCCUGGUGUAGCGGUGGAAUGCGCAGAUAUCAGGAGGAACACCGAUGGCGAAGGCAGGUCUCUGGGCCAUUACUGACACUGAGGAGCGAAAGCGUGGGGAGCGAACAGGAUUAGAUACCCUGGUAGUCCACGCCGU